rnacentral:lncRNA from 1 species
GGAACUUGGAAUAGGCGACUCGUUUAAUUGAGAAACCAAGUAGAAUAGGUGAUGUGUGAGGCGGAGUUGCCCUCCUUCUGUCUUCUUCUUGAUGACAAGGUGCAGAUUUGUUAUUUGGAUCAUGUCUCUUAACCUGCUUAUUACAUCUUUUACUAAAAAAAAAAAAAAAAAAAAAAAAAAAAAAAAAAAAAAAGCUUAUUACAUUCGUUCUCUCAU